AACCUCGCCCCUUGGCGAAAAAUAAACUAAAGGCUAAGGUACUGGUAGACCGUGAAUCGGGCCGAACGUAACGAGGUCAGAAGAAAAAGCAGACAA
ncrna:unclassified sequences RT-17 RNA